AACGAACGCUGGCGGAAGGCCGAACACAUGCAAGUCGAACGAGACCUUCGGGUCUAGUGGCGCACGGGUGCGUAACGCGUGGGAACCUGCCCUUAGGUUCGGAAUAACUCCCCGAAAGGGGUGCUAAUACCGGAUAAUGUCUUCGGACCAAAGAUUUAUCGCCUUUGGAUGGGCCCGCGUUGGAUUAGCUAGUUGGUAGGGUAAAAGCCUACCAAGGCGACGAUACAUAGCUGGUCUGAGAGGAUGAUCAGCCACACUGGGACUGAGACACGGCCCAGACUCCUACGGGAGGCAGCAGUGGGUAAUAUUGGACAAUGGGCGAAAGCCUGAUCCAGCAAUGCCGCGUGAGUGAUGAAGGCCUUAGGGUUGUAAAGCUCUUUUACCCGGGAUGAUAAUGACAGUACCGGGAGAAUAAGCUCCGGCUCACUCCGUG
rnacentral:rRNA from 1 species